rnacentral:lncRNA from 1 species
AGGCAGUGGCUAAGAAUGUCGGCCGCAGGGCCAGAGUGCCUGGGUUGAAUUCUAACUCUUACAUUUGCUUGCUGUGUGCCUUGGAUCACUUUUCUCCAGAGAAUGCAAAUGACACGGCCAAGGAAACAUGCCUAAAUUGGUUUUUCAAGAUUGCCUCCAUCAGGGAACUCAUUCCAAGAUUGUAUCCUUUUUUUUUUUUUUGGUCUGAUGAUUUUAAAGAUAGGCUAAAAGAAUUGUACUGUUAAUAGAAGCCAUGUGAUGGGAUGCCCUGACAUUCUUAUUGAAAGUUUGGUCCCGUUACGGUUGCUAGCCUGAAAACACAUACAGGGCAAGCCACAUUGUAGAAACCCUUGGACUCUUGCUCUUUCCAGUUUUUUGUCUUUUACUUUGAAUACGAUGCCAUGUGUCAAGCAUUUGUUUCCUUGAGGAACAUUCCCACCUUAAUUCUCUCAAUUAAAAUGCUUCAUAUUUGUGUUUUCUCUGAUUCCAAGAACUUGAAAGAACAGGGUCAAGCUUUGCAGGGCAAAUGCUACUAUUGAAGAACAGAUAAUUUGACUUAUACAUAAAUUCCAUCUUAGUUACCUAAAGUUCUUUCUUUCCCCAUAAAGCAUUGAUUAGAAAUGCUCAAAACCC